UACGUAGGGGGCAAGCGUUGUCCGGAAUCAUUGGGCGUAAAGCGCGCGUAGGCGGUCCGAUAAGUCCGCUGUGAAAGUCCGGGGCUCAACCCUGGAAAGCCGGUGGAUACUGUCGGGCUAGAGUCCGGAAGAGGCGAGUGGAAUUCCUGGUGUAGCGGUGGAAUGCGCAGAUAUCAGGAGGAACACCAAAGGCGAAGGCAGCUCGCUGGGACGGUACUGACGCUGAGGUGCGAAAGCGUGGGGAGCGAACAGG
rnacentral:rRNA from 1 species